GGGUGACAAAGAGCUUACAGAUGACCCUAUGGAAAUGAAGGCAUCUUUGGUGGAGGUGUCACAGGGCUCCUCCUGGAGCAUUUGGUGGGGACAGCUGCAGAGAAGGGAAACCAGAGUAAACGCUGCCCAUCUCAGCUCUGCCAGGCUGGUGUUAUCAUCAUCACCAACAGCUGGUGGGUGGCCAGGCCAGGGCUGGAGUGGGGACUCCUGAUACCCGACCAGCGUGGCUGCCUUCCCGGCCAAGCCAAGGCCUCUGUCCGAAAUGAGUGGCUCCAGGUUCCCAGAACGUGCUGCCAUUUUUCUGCGGGUAUUGUUCCUUAAUUGUCCCAUCUGUGCAGGGUCUGUUGUCCCAACUAGACUGUGAGCUCCUCCUCUGAGCCUUCCAACCCUCCCCUGACCCCAUCCCACCCUCAUGCCCAGCACAAGUGGGUCUGUUAUGGAAAUCUCUCAACGGGCUUUGCCUAGCGGAAUGGAUUAUAGAAAUCAGUGGUUCCCAGCAGAAUAGAACCACCAGAGAUUCUUUUAGAAAGCACCAAUGCUUGGGGCCCGCUCCAGAGAUUCCAGUUUAAUUGGACUGGAGUGCAACCUGGCAUCAGAAAUGUUUGAAAGCUCCUCAGGAGAACCCUAGAGUAGGAACCACUGGCCUAUCACCUGCCAGGUGCUUCCCCCGUGCCCUGGCUGGCAUGGGUGCUGGAGAUCAGAGCGCUUCCUCCUUGGGGCUCCAUGGUGCCCCAUGCCUACUGCCCUCAGAUGACCUUUGAAUACAUCUGUCCCCUGCUCUGGCUGCUCCAUAAUGGAGACCCUCUCUCCCUUGUUCACCUCCACAUCUGUAGAGCUGGAUACAGAAAAGGGAGUCAGCAUAUGUCAGCUGAGCUGAAGCACAUACACAUGGCCUCUGAGUUCUGGUCUGUUUGGAGAGAGGGGACAUGGUCAUGUGGACAGAGAGUGCGGAGUGGGGGAGCACCAGGGAGCACUUCCAGAGGGAGGUCGGGGCGGGACCGGGGCAGCCCUGACUCCAGGGUGGCUUGACCUGGGCUAACAAAGUGCCCGAGGGAACCGCUGAGAUCCUUGGUCCUUGCGUGUGUCUGCACGUGCCAGCAGGUCUGCAGCGGAUGUGGGUGUCAGUGUGUGCUGACAUUAACAGUGUGUGAUGCGAGCACCUAGGGGGGUGCUAGCCUGUGUGUGUGUGUGUGUGGUGGGGGGUCCUGCAAGGAAUGAGUGUCUUUGUGUGUCCCUGGGUGACUUGUGAGUCAGUGUUUGUGUGCCUGUGAGUCAGCACCUCUGUGUCAGCGUCACCUGUGCCAUGCGUGUCUUUGUGUGCCAGUGGGUAUCAGUGUCCAUGUGUUGGUUGGUGGCCCAUGAGGACCCCCAGCCCAGGGGAGACCAGUCUGGCUGGAUCCAGUGCAUCUCCCCAGUGGCAGUCUCACCCUCUGGGUCAGGGUGGCUGAGGCAUUUUGUGGCCUUAAAACAGGGAGUCCAGGGUCAGCCCUCAGGGUGUUAGGGUCCUCUACCCCUGUCCCUUCCAGCUUGGUGUCUGGGGGACAAAGGGACUCCUGGGGCCAGGUGCUGUAUAGGUAAGAGACAGGGAGCCUCAGCUUGGCUGUCCUGCCCCUGGAACCAUAGACGGCCACCCGGGGUGCCGAGCUAAGCCUGCAGACCAAGCCCCCUGCUCCUGGGACGCUCCUUCCGCCUCUGCCCUCUCUGGGAUAGCUCUGACUCUUCUUUCUCAUUCACUUUGCCCUCUCCCUAUGCUCAGUGAAAGCCCCUGGCUCAGGCUGUCGGUGCUGGGAUGGGGCAUAGAGAUCCUAACUUCUCAUGGUAGGAAUGAGAGUUAAGCCCAGAGAGGAGGAGGGACUUGCCCCAGGUCACACAGACAGUUAAGGUGGAGCCAGCCUUGGAAGCCAGGUACUACAGUCCUGGGGUUGUCACACCUCUGGCCACUGCUCAUGCCAGGCAGCAAGGAGGAGCUUGGUCAAACAUCCCUGUCUCUGGGUGCUGGUACAGAUGUUACUGGGCCCUGCACUGGGAGAGGUACUGUCUCCCUGCCCCCAAUUCUGGCCCCGCAUCCCAGGCCACGGCCCCUCCUGCCCCAGGUCAAGCCUGGGUGCCACAUGGAGGCUGACACCCUUUGCCCACACUGGCUAUGGCUGCUGCCCUCCCCCAGGCUCCCAGAUGAAAGGGACUCUCUUUCCCCUCCCCUCUGUCUUCACAUGAGCCUGGGCUGGGAAUGAAGGUCAAUGUGUCCUGGUGUCCUUAUCCUGUUGACUUCCCCCUAAGGACCAGGGGAACCUGGGGGAGCAGGGCUAAUCCUCGUGUUUUCCUCUCUCUGGACAGCUCAAGGGGGACGGGGGUAUUUUCAGGGUCUGUCCUCAGGAAUGGGGUGGGUGAACCUGCAAUGGAGGGUCCCUGUAGGGCCACUGGUUGAGUUUCUGGGUUCAGGGGAGCUCUCCUCAAUUCCAAAGGCAGGAUAGCACCCCCUCUCUGUUGAGUCAGUGCUUCUGUGUGUGUGCGUGGAUGAGAGGGUGUGUGUGUGUGUGAGAUAGAGGGUGUAUGCCCGAGUAAGAGUGUGUGUGUGUGUGAGGGUGUGUGUUAGGGCAGAAGGACCACUCUUUCCUGGGGAUCCCUUGACCCUUAGAGCUGGAAGGGACCUUAGAGACCAUUUAAUCCAGUGUCCCCACUGUACAGGUGAGAAAGCUGAGGUCCAGAGAGAUGGCCCUUGCCCACCACCAGCCCCUCCCCUCAUGUCACCUGCAUUCAUUUCCCAGGGGCACCCCUAGGAAUGCCCUCCCUCCUGGCAUCCCCCCACAGAUGCUCACAUAAUCACCAUCUCAGCACAACUCUGCUGGCCCCUCUGCACCCAUGGCCUCCAAGCAUCCUUCCUGCCCCAGGGUAGCCAGCUCACCAAGGCCUUUACCUCCAACCCAGGAGAAAGGGCAGGGGAAGGAGGGUACUGCUCCAGCCCUGCGGCCUCCAGACUUGGAAGAAAGCCAACCCCUCCGUGCCCAGGCCCACCCUACCACCAAGGUAAAAAGCACAACCGGAGACCCUCAUUAACGGGUGAAAGGGACUGGGGUUGUUUUAGUCACAUGACCCCAUCCUCACCCCUUUGCCUUGCUCUCUGUCUCCGCCCCAGCCUCUGCCCCUUCUUUGUUCCCCUUUCCCCCCCACACCCCCCAGAUGUAACCUCUAGUUGCGGACGCGGUUGUUUCAAUCAAUAAAGCUGCGGUGUUCU
ensembl:lncRNA